rnacentral:lncRNA from 1 species
AUUUAACAUAAGUACCAAUGCUUGGAAAAUGUUUAUUUGGUGGUGUCAUUUUCAAAAAACAGCAGUGGAAACUCCCAUAACAAAUAAGUGUUCUUUCCGAGGAAGUUUUUAUAACUAUUUGGGUACUCUUUGUUGAGAUCCUUCAAGUCUCUCAUUCUGACUAUAUAGUUGUCGCCGUUUCAGCCAUUGUCUCACCUAGAGUUCUCGGCGCCAGUUGCUGUUUAAGCCAUCUUGUUCGUCUUCUACGCUUUCUGCAAGCUCUGUCACAGUUAAAAAACCUGUCUUUUUAUAGAUCUGCCACCAUGCCCACACAUCCAACUGCUUUAUUGCCAUGC